rnacentral:misc_RNA from 1 species
UACGGAGGGAGCUAGCGUUGUUCGGAAUUACUGGGCGUAAAGCGCGCGUAGGCGGCCGAUCAAGUCAGAGGUGAAAUCCCGCGGCUCAACUCCGGAACUGCCUUUGAAACUAUUUGGCUAGAAUCUUGGAGAGGCGAGUGGAAUUCCGAGUGUAGAGGUGAAAUUCGUAGAUAUUCGGAAGAACACCAGUGGCGAAGGCGACUCGCUGGACAAGUAUUGACGCUGAGGUGCGAAAGCGUGGGGAGCAAACAGG